UUCAGACACCUAUAGAGAAAAUGGAUCUGAUACUGAUAACAUAUGUCGUAGCAUGGGUAUCCUAUGUUGAUUCACAGACUCCACUGCUAACACCAAAUCAUCUCUCAGUGAAUAAAGGACAAACUGUAACGUUUACCUGUGAUGUUGGAGUUAAAAGUGGUUAUGCUACAGGUUUCCUCCGACAGUCACCAGGAGAUGUCCCACAGCUUCUAGUAUAUCAUCACCAUACAUACCCAGAACCUGCAUAUGGGCCUGGAAUGUCAUCAGCACAUUAUGGCUGCACUAAAAACAGUGCUGGGACACAGUAUCAACUGGUUAUCAAAAACACAGACACCUCGGAUACUGGUUUUAUUUACUGUAUUACAGGGUAUGACAAUGUAGGAAGACACUUUGUUACACAGCUGAACAAAAACCCUUAA